GGAGGGGUCGCAUAGACUGGUCUAGUGCGGCGGAUUGCUAAUCCGUUGUACGGUCGAAAGGCCGUACCGUGGGUUCGAAUCCCACCCCCUCCGCCA
rnacentral:tRNA from 1 species